rnacentral:tRNA from 1 species
GUGCCUAUAGCUUAAUGGUAAAGCUCCGCUCUGUGGCAGCGGCUACACGGGUUCGAUCCCCGUUAGGCACCCCA